UACAACCAUAUCACAUUGAAACACCUGUUCCCGUACGUUCACUAAUGUUAAGCAACGUCGAGCCGUGUCAGUACCUAGAUGGGUGACCGCCUGGAAUACCAGAUGCCGUA